rnacentral:rRNA from 1 species
GACGAACGCUGGCGGCGUGCCUAACACAUGCAAGUCGAGCGGGGAAAAUUGGAAAGCUUGCUUUUCGGUUUUUCUAGCGGCGGACGGGUGAGUAACGCGUGAGCAAUCUGUCUCAAACAGGGGGAUAACCCAGAGAAAUUUGGACUAAUACCCCAUAUUAUUAUUGAGCUGCAUGGUUUGAUAAUGAAAGACGCGAGUUGGUUAUAGAUGGGCAUGCGUGACAUUAGCUAGUUGGUAAGGUAACGGCUUACCAAGGCUACGAUGUCUAGGGGAACUGAGAGGUUAAUCCCCCACACUGGUACUGAGACACGGACCAGACUCCUACGGGAGGCAGCAGUGGGGAAUAUUGCACAAUGGGGGGAAACCCUGAUGCAGCGACGCCGCGUGAGGGAAGAAGGUUUUCGGAUUGUAAACCUCUGUCCUUGGUGACGAAACUGACGGUAGCCAAGGAGGAAGCCACGGCUAACUACGUG